rnacentral:rRNA from 1 species
AACGAACGCUGGCGGCAUGCCUAACACAUGCAAGUCGAACGAGACCUUCGGGUCUAGUGGCGCACGGGUGCGUAACGCGUGGGAACCUGCCCUUAGGUUCGGAAUAACUCCCCGAAAGGGGUGCUAAUACCGGAUAAUGUCUUCGGACCAAAGAUUUAUCGCCUUUGGAUGGGCCCGCGUUGGAUUAGCUAGUUGUUAGGGUAAAAGCCUACCAAGGCGACGAUCCAUAGCUGGUCUGAGAGGAUGAUCAGCCACACUGGGACUGAGACACGGCCCAGACUCCUACGGGAGGCAGCAGUGGGGAAUAUUGGACAAUGGGCGAAAUCCUGAUCCAGCAAUGCCGCGUGAGUGAUGAAGGCCUUAGGGUUGUAAAGCUCUUUUACCCGGGAUGAUAAUGACAGUACCGGGAGAAUAAGCUCCGGCUAACUCCGUG